rnacentral:rRNA from 1 species
GACGUAGGUGGCGAACGUUAUCCGGAAUUAUUGGGCGUAAAGGGCGCGUAGAUGGCUUGAUAAGUUAGCAGUGGGAAAUCGAGGCUCAACCUCGUGGAAGCUGGUAAUACUGUCAGGCUCGAGUGCAGGAGAGGUUAACGGAACUCCAUGUGGAGCGGUAAAAUGUGUAGAUAUAUGGAAGAACACCAAUAACGGCGAAGGCAGUUAACUAUUCUGUUACUGACAUUGAGGCACGAAAGCGUGGGGAGCAAAACGG